GGCCUCCCUCUUUGGGGCAAUCGAUCGUGGGGAUCUACGAUCGGUUGCCCAGCAGAGGGAGGCC
rnacentral:pre_miRNA from 1 species